CAAUGAUGUAGGGAUCUGCCCUGAAGUGGGGGACAACCCGGGGAAACCCGGGCUAAUACCGCAUAAUACUCUACGGAGGAAAUCUGGCUACGCAAGUAGCUGGGGCUUUAGGAUGAACCUACAUCCGAUUAGCUAGUUGGUGAGGUAAUGGCUCACCAAGGCGACGAUCAGUAGCUGGUCUGAGAGGAUGAUCAGCCACAUUGGGACUGAGACACGGCCCAA
rnacentral:rRNA from 1 species